GUGUAAAUUAGAGGAUGCAGUUAUAAUUAGUACUUUAACUUAAAGUAAGGGGACUAAAGGUUAUAAGGAAAGGUAUAACUGCCGAAAUGUAUUACUUCCCCUAAGUAAUACAUUGGGGCUAUGCUAAAUAAGCAUAGUACUGUCUACGGUUGAUUGCCCAAUCUUCCGAUGGAGGUGCUAAUUUAUAC
rnacentral:ncRNA from 2 species